rnacentral:rRNA from 1 species
UUAGGAAUUUUGCGCAAUGGGGGAAACCCUGACGCAGCAACGCCGCGUGAGUGAUGAAGGCCUUCGGGUUGUAAAGCUCUUUUAAUAGGAACGAAAAAAAUGACGGUACCUAUAGAAAAAGCACCGGCUAACUCUGUGCCAGCAGCCGCGGUAAUACAGAGGGUGCAAGCGUUAUUCGGAUUUACUGGGCAUAAAGGGUGCGUAGGUGGCUUUUUAAGUCUGAUGUGAAAGCCCUCGACUCAAUCGAGG